CUGUUGACAGUUUGAUGCUGUGUUGGUGAAGAGCUUAUCAAUUUCACAGCAGGCGAUUUUGCACUGAAACAGGCUUUGACGUGGCCUCCUCCAGAGAAUACAACCUGCUACGGCCUCACACUGAGCCCCGUCACAGCUGAAGGGACGCAUCAGGCUGCAUCAUGAAUAUCUUGACAGAAGGACUUUGAUUGCUGCAUCCUUCCACAGGUCCCUUGAAGUGUGAGACUUGAAGGAAGAGUGGUUCUUUUGAAGGCAGGUAGAAGGCGUUGCGGGGCUGAGAGGCGCUGGGAAGGGCAUGUCCAAACAGACUUUAGGCCCUGAGUGAUGGGACACGGGAAACGGCUUUUGCAAGUAAAUCCCACGUGAAAGUGGAUACAGUUAAGAUGCAAGGCAUGACUUCAGUUUAAAGAGCUAAGCACUGCCGCUACCAUGAGCCAUGAAUCGACGAAGGCCUCUGCUGUUCUCUCCGGUGUGUGUAGGCUGCCUGGUCGUACAUGUAGAUCACAGCGAUGGCUACCAGCGAGAGCACUGUGUAAAGGAUGACAAGGUAGUAUCCGAGCAUCAUCUCUGUCGACUCGUUCCUCAGGUCUGCUUGAGUAAUUCCCGUCGAGAUCUUUACCAACUUCUCUGCCAUUCUGGUCACUGUCAGGUUCACCGCAAAUAGAAUGAGGACCAAUACAGACAAACAUGCUGCAAGAGAAAGAGAGAAAGAUGAUAUACCUGAUAGGAAUUCCAUAAAAUUGAAAUGUUUCUACACAAAAAUGUUGGCUAAAAUAAAUGUACAAUAACAAAAUGCAUAGAAAAUCUGUAUAUUCUUGUAAGUGUAUAUACGGAUUUGUAUAUUUUUGCAUACUUGUGUAGAAAGGCCUAUACAUACACAUGUUUUUAUCUGGGUGUGUGUGUGUUUUAUGAAUGUUCCCUAUCUCCUAGUUACCUGCUUAUUUGUAUUCAAUGUUUUGUUGGGCAAGUUUCUGUUUUACAGUAAAUAAUGUGUAAUGGCGGAUUUGAGGAAUUACAUUUGUAGCUAUUUGAUCUUUUGUUCUUUUUGUUUGUCUUUUCUGUCUUUCUUUCUUUCUACACUUGUUUGUGUAUGAGGUGUUGGGAAAGUGAGAAAUAAGUCAGAUGGAUAUUAUUGACAAGGCACUGGAUUAUUUUCAUGAUAUUAUCUGUGUAUUUUUAAAAUGAAAACAACAUUUUUAAAUCUCACAGUAAGCAUCAUCACCACCAGUAAAUCAUGAAUCACUUUCCCCAACUUUGCUCAGGGGCCUCAACUCCUUGAUGCUUAUUGCUCUGACUUUGUGUCACUUACCACUGAGCGAGCUGCAGACAUAUAAGCCAAUCGGCCCCAUGUAGGUUUCAUAUGGGUUGCUGACACUGUUGUACAGGGAGAUAAGGAUGCUGCCGGCGGAACACAGCAGACACAGGGCCAACAGGCACACCACCAAACCGUGAAGGACCACAGAGGGAACUUCUCCUGUUUCCACCAAUUUAGGAAUCACUAAAACACAUAAAAUCACAAUAUACAAAGUCAUGAAUUUGGGCUAAUGUAAUUAAGUACACCUUGAAUGCACUGCACUAUAUGACAAACUGCAUGUAAAUCUGACUAGCAGUAAUGUUCAGUAUUUCUAAACCCUAUUACCUUGGUUGGUUAUUGGCUAAUGGUUACACAAGCCAAAAUAUCGUUAUGACAUCAUAAAGUGGCUAAAAUCUGAUCAGAUCAUUUUCAGACAGGUUUUUAUAUAAAUGGAUCAGUACAAAAAGUGAGCGAAUCUUUUUUCUUGAAACUUUCAGAACCUCUUUCCACAGAGGGGACACAUGUAUAACAAACAUGAAAAUGUGGACUUUGCAUAAUAGGUGACCUUUGAGAAUACUUUCGACAGAAAAAAGUGAGGCACUGCUUCAAGAAAGACAUGCUGCUGUGGAACUCUUUCGAUGUAUUGUUAGUGUUGUUAUUGUAGGCAAACAUCUCAGAGACAGUUAAAACAAAGGAAAAUCAAAUCAAAAGUAUAGGAAUGGCUUGAUUCGAGAGAUGUUUAAGGGAUAGAAUAUAUACCUUUAAAUGUCUCUUUGUUUCCGAACAAGGGGCAAUAGUCUCUGUUCAAAUCCCCCACAAAAAGCUUCCAAGUGAUCAGAGCACUCCCAUUGGUGAAGCUAUCUCCACUUCUUGUGCACUCCAUGGUGGUCUGAGCCCACUGUGUUGACAUGCCGUACCCCAACACUAAAACAGAGAGGGAGGUAGCCAGAGCACUGGACAAGAAAAGCAGAGUCUUCGUAGUGGAAGGCAUUAUUGCUGUAUUCCAGUUGGACUAGUUCAAUCUAAAUCCCGGCGUCUCGUCUCUAAAACUCGGAUGAAGCCUGAGAAGCAGAUUAGGACCAUCUGAUCCUCUAAAGACUCUGGGUAUGAGCUACCUUCCUGGGUGGAGUGGACUGCUGGUCAUAAAAUCUCUUGAUUAUGGCAGUGACCUUUGGUUAGCAAAGAAAACACAGAGCUGGUUGUCAUGGAAGGGACAGCAGUUUACUCCCUGCGUCAUCUCUGGUCAUAUGUGUUAUCUGAAUGGUCUGCGAUGAUUGAGAAAUAUUUUCAAAUUAUUUUCUGAAUUGUACUAA